UACGUAGGGUGCAAGCGUUAAUCGGAAUUACUGGGCGUAAAGCGUGCGUAGGCGGUUUUGUAAGUUUGUCGUGAAAUCCCCGGGCUUAACCUGGGAAUUGCGAUGAAGACUGCAAGGCUAGAAUCUGGCAGAGGGGGGUAGAAUUCCACGUGUAGCAGUGAAAUGCGUAGAGAUGUGGAGGAACACCGAUGGCGAAGGCAGCCCCCUGGGUCAAGAUUGACGCUCAUGCACGAAAGCGUGGGGAGCAAGACGG
rnacentral:rRNA from 1 species